rnacentral:lncRNA from 1 species
AUUAAAUGUUUGUUUCUGCAUGUUGUUUUCAGAAAUUACUUAAAUUAUAAGUUAUCUGGCUGCUGCACACAUGCCUGGCAUAUGCUUGGACAAGUUAAAAAGUGACCUGCAAACCUGUAAAUAAGCUGAACUAAGUCUGCUAUCAAAAUAGUCUUUUGAGGAAGGAAAGCCCUGUUGCAAACACCGGAUAUUGGGGAUGUGCAGGAGCUGGAGCUUCACUUGUGACUCAGAGGAUGUUGGGAACCAUGGAUGUGUCAGCCCAGAUGUCACUGCCUGCUUACAAAGGGCACAUGCAGUUACUGAGGGUGCUUCAUUCAGCAGUCAGUCUCAGCACAACAGAUGAGGUUGCACACCCAGGCUUUGGAUCACAGCCUGAAUUGCCAUGCUGAGUCUUACAGAAAGCUCAAGUGUUGUUCCCACCACCCUCUUCAUUUUAAUGGGGUCUGCACUCUGGGCUGAACAGAUCUUCAUGCUCUACAGAGAAGCAACUUCUGGAAGACUGAAUUUGAAUAGGAUCUCCACUACUCCAAGCAAGAGAAAUUUUGUGUCACAGGAAACUGCACAUUUAUGGCUCUAUCUCAUUCUGAACUGUGCCAAAAAGGAUGGUAUUCAUGGGUAGUCUCAGGAGAUUAAUCUUUCUCUGUUAGCCAGUCUUGGUGAGCAAAUCCUGGAAAUAUUCCUCUUUCAGGACCUUUGCAGAAUACUUUGACAUCUAAUGUUUCUUUUAGAAUAUGAAACCAGACUGGUAGAAUUGCUGGAGUGUUAAAUUACUACAUGGUGUCUGUCUCCUGGAGGAAGAGGGUAAAAAACUGGAAAGCAAAAGUCUCCCACUGGAAUCUUGGCUUGAGGUGAAUAGAUGAAUGACAAAAUCUUUGUUCUGCAGUAGGGCCUGUCUGACCUUUCCUUUCCUGUUGAGUUGUGAAACAACAAAGUAAACAUUUAACUGAAUGUGGCAGCCUGAGACAAUUGGCCCUAUUGUAGAAGGAACUCCAGUCCCUUUACUCUGCAUAAAUUCUCUUUGCUGGCAAUGCUAAUAGAGCUGCAGUAGAAGAAAGCCAGGCCUUUCUUUGGGCAAGACCCAAGUUUAAGCAGAAAUACAAGUGGCUUAGUCCCUGAAAGUGUCCUGGAUGCAGCAGGGCUGCUGAGGAUCACCCAUGGUCAGAGCACUUUCAAAGGUAUUUUGUUUGUAGCAUAGGAAAUUAAUUUGUAAUACUGAAGUCUUCAAAGUCCUGCCAUCAGGCUUGUUGGGACUGGUUGGAUAUGAUUUCGUUACUAACAGAACAAUGGCAGGAUGGAAUUGCUGAGAUGUAUUCCUUGUACAAAAGGGAAUAAUUUCCAAACUGCUUUCCUUGAUUUCAUGGCACUGUCAUGACACUGCAUUCCCAGCUGAGGUGGGCUUCUGAGCAUGAAUAAACCCAUGAGUUCUAAAAUGCUGGAAAUGAAC